rnacentral:rRNA from 1 species
UUUUAUGGAGAGUUUGAUCCUGGCUCAGGAUGAACGCUGGCGGCGUGCCUAAUACAUGCAAGUCGAGCGAACGGACGAGAAGCUUGCUUCUCUGAUGUUAGCGGCGGACGGGUGAGUAACACGUGGAUAACCUACCUAUAAGACUGGGAUAACUUCGGGAAACCGGAGCUAAUACCGGAUAAUAUUUUGAACCGCAUGGUUCAAAAGUAAAAGACGGUCUUGCUGUCACUUAUAGAUGGAUCCGCGCUGCAUUAGCUAGUUGGUAAGGUAAC